CUUUGAUUAGACACCCUGCGAAGGAAACAACACCUCCACCUUCAACUCCCAUAUUAUAAAUAUUGAAGGGUGUAGUCUUUAAAUUUUAUCUUUCUUAUUUCUCAUUUGCUAGAGCAUAUAUACUUUUCCAUAGCUCUCAACUCAAAAAGUUCUUCUUCUAAGUUUUCUGGUGACGAAGAGCAAUUUAUCCAAAGAUGAGUCAGAAUCAAGCUACAGGUAACUAAUACUCCUUGCCAUAUAUAUGUUAUUUCUUUGUUCGAUGUCUACUCUCUGUUUUGGAGAUGGGUAUAAGAUGAGAUAUUAGAAUUUUUUUUUUUCUCCCUCACCUUUGAUCGUUGGAAUCUUUGGUUUUAAUUGAACGAACAGAUGGUUUUGGUUUUAAUUUUGAAUCGAUGGGUUUUCAGUUGGGUUCUGUAUUUGAAAAGAAAAGAAUCGGAAUAUAUUCCCUUCAUUUUUGGCCUGGUGUGAAGUCAGAAAACCUGAGCUGAUUCCAGUUUUAACUUUACUGAACUAAAACUGAUAUAUCUAUGAAAGCUAAUUUCAAUUUCAACUUCUCUUCUUUUUACGGAAAGAACAAAAUGGAAUAUUACAUAAAAGCUAAUUAACCGGAAAUGUUUUGAAUUUGGAACAGCAUAUCCUCCACCGCCACCCUCAAAUGCAUACGUAGCGCCACCGCCAGCUGGCUACCCAACCAAAGACGGUGACACUCAAAAUCAAGUUCCCGUGGAGACCAAAUCCAGAGGUGAUGGCUUCUGGAAAGGAUGGUAAGCAAAAUCCUGCUGCUCUUUUCGUUUCAUUUUCCCCAUUUUUGCUAAUGUUCUCUUUUCCUUUUGGUACAGUUGUGCUGCCCUCUGUUGCUGCUGCGUAUUGGAUGCUUGCUUUUGAGGAUUUGUUGAAAGAGUCAUAUUUGAUUUGGAUUUAUGAGCAUAUUCUAUUAUAUCAUUUGUGUCUUUAUUUGAUUUUUGUGUAAUUUUGUUUUUUUCCCCCUACAAGUUCCGUGUUUUAGUGGACAAUGGGACCCGUAGGGCUAGAUUAUCAUCCUUGAUGUACUGUAAUGAAUUCUUUAAUAUUAUAGUGAUGUAAUAUAUUAUUUUCUAUUCAAUAAUGAUGGUUUUCUUUUAUACAGUAAUUCCAUUUCUAGAAUACCUAAUUUUUCUUGAUAUUGUAUUUUUUACGUAUAUAUAUUCGAACACUG
rnacentral:lncRNA from 1 species